rnacentral:rRNA from 1 species
UGGGGAAUAUUGCACAAUGGGCGCAAGCCUGAUGCAGCCAUGCCGCGUGUGUGAAGAAGGCCUUCGGGUUGUAAAGCACUUUCAGCGAGGAGGAAGGUGGUGGACUUAAUACGUUCAUCAAUUGACGUUACUCGCAGAAGAAGCACCGGCUAACUCCGUGCCAGCAGCCGCGGUAAUACGGAGGGUGCAAGCGUUAAUCGGAAUUACUGGGCGUAAAGCGCACGCAGGCGGUUUGUUAAGUCAGAUGUGAAAUCCCCGGGCUCAACCUGGGAACUGCAUUUGAAACUGGCAAGCUAGAGUCUCGUAGAGGGGGGUAGAAUUCCAGGUGUAGCGGUGAAAUGCGUAGAGAUCUGGAGGAAUACCGGUGGCGAAGGCGGCCCCCUGGACGAAGACUGACGCUCAGGUGCGAAAAGCGUGGGGCAGCAAACAGGAUUAGAUACCCUGGUAGUCCACGCUGUAAACGAUGUCGAUUUUGGAGGUUGUGCCCUUGAGGCGUGGCUUCCGGAGCUAACGCGUUAAAUCGACCGCCUGGGGAGUACGGCCGCAAGGUU